rnacentral:rRNA from 1 species
UACGUAGGGGGCAAGCGUUUGUCCGGAUUUACUGGGCGUAAAGAGCGUGUAGGCGGCCAAGCAGGUCCGUUGUGAAAACUGGAGGCUUAACCUCCAGACGUCGACGGAAACCGCGUGGCUAGAGUCCGGAAGAGGAGAGUGGAAUUCCUGGUGUAGCGGUGAAAUGCGCAGAUAUCAGGAAGAACACCAAUAGCGAAGGCAGCUCUCUGGGACGGUACUGACGCUGAGACGCGAAAGCGUGGGGAGCGAACAGG